rnacentral:misc_RNA from 1 species
GCACCUUUUAGGGAUGGUCCAUAUUCAAGCAAAUGAUGUUGGAGUGGCCCACUCCUCAAUCAUAGACUAAAGCAAUAGAAUUUUGCCAUGUCCACAAAAUUCAUAAUUAAUCACUGCUAAAUUCCAUCCUUAACUAUAAAUGCAAAUUACACUAGUUUGAUACACAUCUAUUAGCUUGGCCUACAGCUUAAACUUAUAGACUGAAUCCACCAAGGAAUUUCUAAAUUGCAAUGUAGGCCUAUUGUCAUCAUAAUUCAAUCUAAGGUUUUCAAGUAUACUCAAGGUCGCCGUAUUGCUGGAUAGUUAAGACUCCUUUUUUUCAAUGCAGUGACUGAGCACCUUAAAUUAGGGAGGGAAGCUAUCCCAACUCCUUGCUGACUCGAAUUUUGCCCAACACUAGGUUUUGGGGAAUGCAAACAUGUCCUGCAAGAGAAGUUGGUCUUGUCGAACAAAUUGUAAAGAAUACCUACAGGAUAAUUCAUGACCCCUGUGCUUCAGAAAUGACUACAUUUCCUUUUUCUUUUGAUUUUGGGAUUAUAACAGUGAUUAUAUCCCUCGAUUAAUCAUCUCACACAUGCUAUCGGGCCAAUAAUUUGAACAUAGAAUGGCCUACCAAAACUUAUAACAUCUAAGGUUUCAAACGCUUUCAUGAUUCGAGUACAUUUUGCACUACUGCCUUUUUAAGUAGCAGCAACCAGCUUUGCAAAAAGGAGCGCCGUCUUCUCCUCUUCAGAGCAUUAAUAAGUUUUCGCCAUAAAUUCUGAUGAAAUGAGCAACUCUAAACCACAAUAUCACUACCCUUAAUCAGUAUCUGAUAAUAUCUUCAUCAUAUAGUCGAGAGUCCUGUCAAGUGACUCAUGUCACAAUAAUACAGCAAAUCUAUGCAGUCUUCAAGUGAAUUCCCAUCUCUGAUAUUUACAAUCUAGCUUCAAAAUAUAAGUUAUGAGAUUAUGAACAAAGCAGCUGAAUCCUUUACGUACAUCCAUUAAUAUCAUGCAGGCAUUUGCGAAGAGUGGCUGCAUAGUCAUCAAACUGAAUGUCAGUAGGUGGCUGCAAGUCAAAGACGUACGAGAUAGGCUUUGAUGCCAACAUUGGCUUCCUAGUUGUGACAACAUCUGAUAGCUCCCCAAAGCUUGCUUCAUCAAAUGGAAAGGACUCUCUAAGGAAAAAGAAGCUGUCUCUACCCAACUUUUCCACCUGUAACUGUGAAAAUCUAAUGUUGUUCAUGGUGAUGAUAAUUCGAAGUUCAUACAAGGAAUCAGCUAUAAUUCUGAUAGCUAAAUGCUCAAAGAAAUUCUGCACAAGAAUUGUCUCUCUCUCCAAAUUUUCACCAUGGCCAUCUAAAUUAGGGAACCAUAGUAUGCACUUAAUUUCACUCCAUGGAAUGGGAUUCCUCCCUGCUCUAGAAACAAUUGUCUGGUGCGGGUGAUGAAGACCCCACAAAAUUCGGACACCCUCCAACGAUGGAUCACUUAUUGCAGUGUCAGACAUGCUUGCUGUGGAUAUUAUUUUGGAGGGAUCAUAGUGGCGAGCAAGAUUUGAGGAGAUAUGCAAGUCAAUGUCAUCUAAUAGAAGAAUGCAUCCAUCUAGAGAUGCUGGAAGAAAUUGUAGAAGGGAGGCAGCAUUGAAAUCAUCAUCCUCUGGCAAGCUUGGAGUCAGGCCAAAUGAUAAUGUUGAUGAUCCCGAAUCAUGGGAAAAGAAACAUGACUCUCCAUUUCAACAACCCUGUAAAGAGAAAAAGUAUUUGCAAGUAGGUACUUUUGCUUGAAGUGAAUGAGAAAAUAAGCAUUGACUGCCCUUGUUGCAGGAUCCAUUUAUAAAAUACACACACAAAGGAGCCUCCCCUUUUACUCAAGACGCAUCACCAUCAACAUAGCUAGCAUGAUUAUCAGAUGCAUUUUCUGUUAAUUGAACUCUCAUCUCUUUGACAAUGAUUGACAAUUUUUCAGCCACAUUAAUAGUCUGAAAGUGUCCAGAAGCAACAAAUGGUACAGCACAACAUUUUUUCGUUUCAUUAGAUGGUUCGUGUUCAUCAUCUGCAGCAACAACCCUAUCUCCAUUUCUCUGAGAUUUUAGAAGACACACAUGGCCAAAUUCAUAAGGAUCAUAGUAGGUUGGUAGGCCAUCACAUUUAGCCAGAAAUCUGGGACGAAACCGAUGCAGUGAAUUUAGUACAUCUUCAUAUAUCUCAGACACUUGAUGUAGAGAUGACUGCACAAGAUUAUGAAAUGAGCACCAUUCCUCUUCAAUCUUCAGUAGCAGAGAUGUCAAAGUUUUCAUUUCAUCAAACCUAGAAAGUCGUUUAAGGUGUUCAAGACGGUGCUUAUCCUGAGUAGAAAGCCAUAUAUCACUCAAAUCAUAUAAUAAAAAUCUAUUCAAACAAACCCCCCUCAAAACAUGCAAGCUAAAAACCUGUUUACCUUAAAUACACGUUGCCAAAACUGAUAUGCACACAAGUUUCCAAUUAAUACCAUCUCCUUUUGACCAAGUUUCACAAUGUUGUUACAAUCACCACCAAAGUAGCGGAAUGUGUACUCUGUAAACUGAAGUAUUACAUUAAUUUAUGAGAAAGACAACUGUUCAAACCAGCAAGUACAUACUACAAGUUCACUUGCUAGGCAAUACCAAAUGUUCUUCUCCAAAAGGAUGAAGAAUCGGUAGAGGCUGUGCAUCCAUCAAUAUACCCAUCAGAAUGCCUUCACGCAACAAUCCAAUAUCUCCGAACUUGAGUAUAAGAACAGAGGCAUCAAAGGACAAUGAGAAGCUAGCAAGCAACCGUCCAUAAAAUGAAGGCUCAUACCGGCCUCUAGUAGAGAUUCUCGGUGCUUUUAUGUGAACAAGCAAGUUUAAUGCUUCUUCAACAACUUGAGGAUGAGGAGGAUCCAAAACCUUUUGCAACAAGGCCCUGGGAUCAUUAAUGGCUUUAGAUUCAGCACAGCAAAUCAUAAGGACUUGUUGCCGUAAUGAUAACCUGAGUAUAGCUGGAGACUCGUGUUCCUGAAGCCUGCUGAAAAAUGAUCCUGUGACCAACCGAUAAAUCUGGCCAUCACAGGUUCUACCAGUUCUACCUUUACGUUGGUCAGCCUGAGAUUUAGAAACCCAAAUAAGCUCUGCAGAAUCCAUUUUCCUUGUAAAAUCCCAAAAAACUUGCAAAGAUCGGCAGGAAUCAAUGACAUAUGCUACUUUGGGUAUUGUCACAGAAGAUUCUGCAAUAUUUGUGGCCAAUAUCACCUUACGAUGUGAUUUCCAGAUUUUCAUAGCCAUGAGAGCUUGUUCAGUGUCAACGCUUCGAUGUAAAAUGUGAACUUUAAACCAUGAACUAAGUGGCUUUAGAAGGUUCCACUGCUGUUCCAAGUCACGGUAUGUAGGAAGGAAAACCAAAAUGCCCUUUUCAAUAUCUGGUUCAUUAUCAUGAAUAUGCACUAUUAAAUCAUAUAUAAGUCUGUGUACUUCUGGUUUAAUAUCAGCAGCUGCCAUGGAAGGGUUUGGUCCUGAACAAUAUCUAGCAGCCAAUGACUCUGAACUUAUUCCAAGAAAUUCAGUUAUCUGUUCAAGAUAUGAAACUCUUCUCUGAAAAAGUGCUUGCUGGUCGGAGCUAGGGAUUGCAAGCACUUCAACUCUUUCACCCCUGCCAAGAUCUUUAAAAUAAUCUCGGUAUCUUCCAAAAUCAGCAGUUGCAGACAUCAAUACCACCCUCAAGUCAUUGUUCUUUAACAGAAACUGCUUUACACAGACGAGAGCAAGAUCAGACUCGAUGGAUCUUUCAUGCACUUCAUCAAGAAUGAUAACUUUGUAUUUGAGUGCAUUCAACCCCUUUUCUUUCAUUUCUUCUAACAAAACACCAGCUGUUUUAAAAACAAUCUUUGAUCUCGCUGAGAAGAGCUUUGAAUGGCCUAUAUGAUACCCAACCUCUCCUCCCAGCUCACAGUUACGAGCUUUUGCUACCAUUUUAGCAACAGCAACAACAGCAAAUCUCCUGGGUUGUGUGCAUAUAAUGGGUUCCAUGUUUUCUUCCAGGAGAAACUGUGGGAUUUGAGAACUCUUACCACAGCCAGUCUCGCCGACUAUGAGAGUAACACGAUUUUCCUUGAUUUUCUCGACGAUUUUCUCUCUGAGCGACAUCACCGGGAGAGACGAGAACUCCGGUUGCGAAAAUGGAGAAACAUAUGAGGAGCUACACGAGCCCAUCGGAGAAGAUGAAGCCGCCAUUUUGAAAAUCCUCCACUCUCCUCUCUUGCUAUGCGUCGCUCUUAUUCGCUAAGGAAAAGCAGGAAGUACGACUUCGGAGAAAUUGGGAAGACUUAAUUCGCAAGGGAAGCGAACGGAAGGGAAGGGAAGGGGAGGACACAGCGAGUUAGUCGCGUCAUGGACUCAGUGAUCCGAGAAGGUCGGGAUUAUGUGAGCUUGAAUAUAGGCAUGAAAGUUUUUCACUUGAAAGCCAAUGUCUUUGCUUUCUUUUAUUGGCUGUUUUGGGGGCUGGCCAAUCAUUUGCAGGUCUUAGGACAGCGAAA